AGAGUUCGAUCCUGGCUCAGGAUGAACGCUGGCGGCAGGCUUAACACAUGCAAGUCGAACGGAAUUGGUGUUUCCAUGUGGCGAACGGUGAAGUAAACGCGUAGAAAGACCUGCCCUGGGAGGUGACAACAAUGGAACGGUUGGCUAAUACCCCGUAGGCUGAGCGCAAAAUAGAAAUCCGCCCAGGAGGGGCUCGCGUCUGAUUAGCUGUUGGUGAGGCAAUAGCUUACCAAGGCGAUGAUCAGUAGCUGGUCCGAGAUGAAUGAUCAGCCACACUGGUACUGAGACACUGCCCAGACUUCUACGUAGGCAGCAUGGGGAAUUUCCUCCGCAAUGGCGAAAAGCCUGACGGAGCAAUGCCGCGGGGAGGUGGAUGCCUAACUGGUCGCACUUCUUUUCUUCGGAUAAGAACAAUGACGGUAUCUGAGGAAUAAGGCAUCGGCUAACUCUGUGCCAUCAGCCGCGGUAAGACAGAGGAUGCAGCGUUACCGGAAAUGACUGGGCGUAAAGCGUCGGUAGGUGGUUUUUCAAGUCCCGCCUUCAAAUCCCAGGGCUAACCCUGGACAGGCGGUGGAAACUACCAAGCUGAGUACGGUAGGGGCAUAUGGAUUUUUUCCGGUGGAGCGGUGAAAUGCAUUGAGAUCGGAAAGAACACCAACGGCGAACGCACUCUGCUGGGUCCCCCCUGACACUGAGAGACGAAGCUAGGGGGACAAUGGAUUAGAGCCCAGUAUCAUAGCCCGUAAACGAUGAUCUAGUGCUGUGCGAACUCGCCGUGCAGGUGCUGUGCUAACGCGUUAAGUAUCCCGCCUGGGGAGUACGUUCGCAAGAAUGAAAACUCAAAGGAAUUGACGGGGGCCCGCACAAGCGGUGGGAGCAUGUGGUUUAAUUCGAUUCAAAGCGAAGAACCUUACCAGGGCUUGACAUGCGCGAAGCCUCUUGAAAGAGAGGGGUGCCCUCGGGAACGCGGACACAGGUGUGCAUGGCUGGGCUCAGCUCGUGCCGUAAGGUGUUGUGUUUUAAGUCUCGCAACGAGCGCAACCCUCGUGUUUAGUUGCCACUAUGAGUUUGGAACCCUGAACAACCCGCCUGUGUAAAGCCGAGGAAGUAGAGGAUGAGGCAAGUCCCAUCAUGCCCUAUGCCCUGGCGACACACGUGCUAACAUGGGCGGGGACAAGGGUCCCGCGAUCUCGCGAGGGUGAGCUAACUCCAAAAACCCGUCCGCAGUUCUGAUUGCAGCGCAACUCUCGCCUGCAUGAAGCAGGAAUCGCUAUAAUGAUCGCCGGUCAGCCAUACGGCGGUGAAUCCGUUCCCGGGCCUUGUACACACCGCCCGUCACACUAUAGGAGCUGGCCAGGUUUGAAGUCAUCCCUUAAACCGUAAGGAGGGGGAUGCCUAAGGCUAGGCUUGCGACUGGAGUGAAGUCGUAACAAGGUAGCCGUACUGGAAGGUGCGCUG
rnacentral:rRNA from 1 species